CACAAAGUGCAAUUCCUUUCAGAUUCAGACAUUUCCCAUUAAAUUUAUGGGUUUGUUUUUGUGAUAUGGGAAUGCGUUUGGGCGCCAAGCGGUCGCCCACUACAAUGAACUUUUCACUUUUAAAGAUUAUUAUUGUUACUUUGGCGAGGAACGUCGUUGAGGCUGCUAGGCUGCUACAAAGUCGGAAUUCAAACUGUAUUUUUAAAGUAAGCACAAUGUCCUUAUUCCAAAAAGCAUUGUUUGCCUACGUUGGUCCUUUCGGCCACCCCUAAAGUUGCGCCUCGUGCCAGCGGUUAAUUUUGUCAUACAUUGAAGGCAAGGAAAUUACCACUAUUUUUGGUCUGGGUGCGCUAUCAUUCAUAAAAAAUACACAACUUUGAUAUUGGAUAAAUCCAGGUAAAUCGACCUCUUCAGGAAUGAAAAAUAACUUCAAAUGCAAACUCCUUAUACAAAAUCACCAAAAACGAUCGAUGUCUAUGUUGAUACAAUAUUAAUAAAAAAAUAUAAACUUACAUUUAGUUGAA